GUUGCUGGAUCGGCGAAGUUACCGUUGCCCUGACCCUCCGGACACCUAAACUCCUCAUCUUUCUUGUCCUCGUCCUUUUUGUUCUUUUGGCAAUGUACUGGGAAAAUAAAAGAAAGCGCAAUACGCACAAGAGGACAACAAGAGGGAUGAUACCUUGUGUACACAUGGACAGUCUCGGAUGUGCGUAGAAAAUAUGGGCGGGAGAAAUUCCAGAAGAGAAGUUUGAGAAAGCGAGAAACGUGACUGCGGGCAUUCCAAUAUGUUUGGGCACGUGAGUGCGCACAAGCGAACAAGCAUUUAUGCUCCUUUCAGUGAAACGUAAAUCCGUUUAAAAAAUGACUAAAAAGAGGCGGAAUCGCAUUAACAUGUACCACAACGAAAUCUCUUUUUUUAUCGCCUUUUUAAACCGGAAAUUUAGACUCACGUCAGAUAGAAAUCUCUGCGAGGCGUUAAACUGAUAGUCAUAGAAUGUUAAAUCCGCCAUUGACACGCGCGAAAUGCCAGCGUGCUAAUAAUAUCCUCGACGCUUAAUAUUAAUCCGGAUCUCACGAGUGGUCGUAAGAGUUUGAACUGCGUCACGAUGCACCGUUAUUUAGCUGUUCAGUCAAGCGUGCAUUGAUUUAUGUGAAACGCGUGUGAAGAAUCUUCAAAUGCCGGAAGAGUUCUUCGGCAUAUUCCAGACGCGCCACUGCGAAUGCAUGCGCAAGAAUUGCACAAGUUUUCGUGAAACUCAUAACACGCAUUUGCAAUAAAUUGAUACGCUUGAGUUAACAUUAUGCGUCAUGAGAUUUUAGCGCAGUCAAGGUUCUUUAAACAUCUCGUAUAUGUUUCUCUCAGUAAUUUUAAACUUGCAUUAUUUGAUGAACUUAACAUUGAUAUUCGGUCUAACAAGAAUGGCGGAAUAAGUGAUACAAAAGUGAUAAAAGGCUGAACUAUCUAAAGUGAUUAUGAUAUUUUUUUCAGAAAUGUUCAUAAAUUCAAUAUGAAAAAUAUAAUAUUUAAACAUGAAAAAUUCUUAAAAAUACGAGAAUUAUGAAAACUUUUUUUCAUCACGAUAACGAGAGAAACUAUAUAAUGCACGAUUGACGUGAAAAUCUGGGAGUAUUAAAAACAGUGUGUAAUACUCGCGAGAGAAAGUAGUACCUACGAAGAUUCUUCCCAAUGAUCCUUAUAAUCGCACAGCACAUUUUUAUGCCCCUUCUUCUACUCAUAAUAUCGUAAUUAAAUCAAAUUGAGAUUACGUUAUCUUCCUGUGAAUUAGGUCUGGACAAUUUGCAGUUAGGCUUCUUAAAAGCCACACCUGAGCUAAUCGACGAUUUGAUUAAAUGAUGAGGCAAGGUAAUUACACUGUGAUUCGCAAUGUAAGCCGCAGACGAGGUAAUAAUGUGUUUCUUUGGUGUGUACCAGGAGUUCGGUCGAGAAAUUGUAUAUACACCUGAAACAUCUGAUACGUGUAACUCGAUCGCUUAACGAUUAAAAACAGAUAAUUAUCGUGGAAUCGGCGAUUUACUUUCGCUGGAUUUCCUAAUACAAUGGCAGAUAUCUCUCAAAUGAUUCACAGAUGAUUUGCAAAAAAUAAGAUUUUGUUCUAAGUUAUAGAUUUCUGUAAUCUGCAUGAUCAGAAUCCAGCAAACAUUAAUAUCAAUUAUAAUUUUCCACUUAAUAAUAUAAAUGUAAUAUAGUGCACAUUGUAUGUAAUAAUUACAUUCUUGAGUACACAACAAGAAACAUUUUGUGUUUGUAUUAAAACAGGUCCUUGAUAAAACUUUUGUGUUGAAUUUCUAACAUAUUAUAAUAAUAGUAAAAUACUUUCGUCAAAGAUUCUCUUCUAUUUAAUUUAUCUCGUCUGAUGAAGGACAAUCCACAAAUGAACUUUUUUUAAUCUAUCUUUAUUUUUUUAGGCAGGGGAUAGUUGCGGCGAGCAAAGACAGGACGCGUUACGGCCGCAACUUGUCGAGAGAGGUGCUCUCAUUCGCGGAUGUCAAAAAGGCCCGUUUAACGGCAAAGUGGAAAGUGAAGGUAUACACCAAUGUACGUUGGCAAUGACGUUGCGCUCACGACGACGUGUUCUUUCGUUCUCUCAGGUGCAACGUUUCCUUCGAUCGUCCGGACUCACGCACACGUGCGGUGACACGUGUGUGCGCGCUCUCUCGUUCACAUAGGUACGAGACCAUAUGCGCGUGAAACAAAUCUUAUGUAAACGCGAGUGAAACCGCCGACAUACCGAAUUUAUCGCGAUUCGUCAAUGUUGCUUCCUCAAAUUUCUGCGUUUUUGUUUUAGCACGGAUUGACUUGAAAACUUUACUUGCCAGAUUCAUAGAGAAUUAUUAUUAUAAAUUGAAGGAUUUCUAAAAAACUGGAUUAGUUAAUCAGUAAAUUAAUCAUGUUUGUCUACACACAGUUAUACUCACAAUGCAAAAUGCACAUUGUGUUUAAGUAAAUAUAACUUUUUUUAAAUACUUCAUAAAUUCAUAUAUCCACAAGAUAUAUGAAUAUAAUAACAUGAGUUUAUAGUAAUAUUGUAAAAAGUUACAACUUUUACAACUAUUACAGCAGUUAAUUUCCAAACCCGUUAGUAAAGGUGUAUAUUUACAUACACAAGAGUAAGUUUACAUAUUACAAAUAAAAUUAUGCUUUAUAAUAAUUAAACAAUUUAAAAGUAAAUUUACAAUUGAAGUUAUAGAAAUAUUUACGUAAUAAUUCACCAGAUAAUUUACACGUACAUUUUUAAUACGUACAAUUUUUCUUAAGCUACCCAGCAAACAAAAAUCAAUUCAAAUACAUUGAAAAUUAUAAUUUAUUUUAAUUUAUUUGAGUUUAUAGUCUCCAAAUAUUUUUGGAUUCAAAUGGACUCAAAUGAUUGAAAUAUGAAGUGCGCUAUAUAUCAAUUUGAAUUUGGAUGGAUUCAUAUUCUCAUUAUAUCAUUUUUGGAAUGUAAACAUACAUGCAUAAGAAAAUAUUUUUACAAUUAGAGAUAAAGGUACUAAUUUUUGUAAAAAUGUUAUAAUGAAAAAUAUAUAAAAACAAUUUUAUAUAUUUCCAUUAUAUGUUAUGUUACAAACUGUGUAAUUUUUACAAAACACAUUAUUUAUGUAAUUUUACAUAUUUUUUAUAAUGUAAGCAUAAAAUUUAUUCAAAAUAUGUUGUGAAUCCUAAUAAGUUUAAUACUUGAAGCAAGAAUAUCAAGUGAAACAAAAUUUGCUUAUUAUUCUGACUUUUUAAAUAAAAUUUUAUAAUAUUUUUCAAAAGAAUAGAUAUUAUUCUUUUGUGUACUUGAUAAUGAGAUUUCUAAUAUUUGUGGCGAGUAUAUUUUAAAGCUGUUAGUAGACAAAUUCUUUGUUAAAGAUAACCGUUACUUAAAAGAAAAAAGUAAAUUGAUGAAUAAUCAUUUUUUUUAGCAGUAGAAUAAUAUCUUUCUGCGUGGAUUUUUCAGUUAGUUGUAUAUGCAACACUUUAUUUCUGUGAUAAAGUACAUACAAAUAUGCGAUGCAAGAGCGAGCUGUUUAAUAUGCAUUUAUUGGAUCGUUAUAGUUACAUACUUCUUCACUCGCGCGUAACAUUAUCGAUAAAAUAAUGGCAGCCACGAAGGAUACAAAGAGAAAACCAAGAAAAAGAUAUGCAACCGAAGAACGCUACGAAGAAGAGGGAUAACAUCGGCCCAGAGGAAAAAAAGACAAAGUUAACGUGACGACCUGUUAGAACUGGUCAGCCGUAGUUCUGAAGAAAACAGCAAAAGCCAAAACUAUCUUAUGCUUUAGGAAUUCAAUGUUAGACGAUAGUCCCGGAAUUUCGUCAUUUUUGGAAAGUGACUAUUAUCCAUCUUAAUAAUCGGUUACCGCGGACAUGGUACGAUACGCUGAGCAUAGUGGGUGAGUGGCAAAAAAGAAACUCUGUAAUUGGAGCCACAAUAAAAGUUGAAAUUUUUCGCAUGAAUGAAACAAUUUUAUUGCAGUAUUCAUUUAGAUACAAAUUAGAAAAUAAUUUUAUGUUUAUAUGAUCAUCGAUAAUUAUGUGGGGAAACUCAAGCACAAUGAUACAGCUGUAAAAAAUUUUGACAUUCUAACAGUCAGCUUAAGCAUCCAAUAUUUUAAUGAUCCAUGAUUAUUUCCAGAUUUGUAUUUCAGCAAAAUUAUUCUUUCAGAAAACGAAAUAGAAGGAUAGAAGGAUUUUUAUUAUAUAGAGAGAGAGAGAGAGCCAAAGAAGAGCAAGGAAAUGGCGUAAUCCGGCAACAAUCUUAAAUAAUUUCUCCUAUUCUUUCCGUCUCUCCCACACGAAGAGGCGCGUAUACUUCGGUCUUUCGAAACGGGACCGUCAACGGGGAGAAAGGUAGUCGACGUAGCGGAAAUAGCGAGGGCGCGCCUACCUGUGACGACGGUCAAGACGGCGCAGAUCAGCGCCGCUUCCUGGAGCCUCAUCGUUCCGCGCGCGCGCGUGCGGGGUUCUCGAUGUUCCAAUAGUCGUCACGGGUCCGAAUUUUCCUUUCGCGUACCCUCCUCGUUCAGCUCGUGCGACCACGACGACGUAUCAUCAGCCGACCGACCGGACCGAACGAGUGACUGAUCUACCGGGCUGAUCCGCUGCCGCGACACUGCCGAGGGUAUACACCGCCGUCGCGGCACUUCUUAGGAGCUAGCCAGCUCAGGAACCAUUCUCAGCUCAUUGGCUGACCACUUUCUACCGGCGCGGCGCGACGCGCCGGCCCGCCGCCGGAGUGAACCGACGAGAAAAGCUGUUUGUCUCUCGUGUCGGGCACGACACGCCGCAACACGAAAUUCAUGGCUCGCUCGCGGCUAAAGUCUGCCUUCGAAGUCUUCUCCGCUCGUUUCGCUUUCAAACAGGGACGGAUUCGGCGCCGCUCUGCAACGUUCUUUCACCGCCGGUGAUUGCAGAGGACGAAUUACACGAAUGUUACGCCAGCGUGGCAAUAAUAGAAUUGACACUUGUCUAAUGGAACAUUAGAGUUUUAUGUACAAUGUUUUUAUGCAGGCCAGAAAUGCAAUUGUCCAUUGCAACAGUUUUAUUCAGUAUUGAAAAAAGGUUUAUCGAAAUUCGAUAUGUAGCAAUAACCGCGAAAAUAUUAUGAAAUAUACACGUGCUCGCUAAA